ACCCCACUAUGCUAAGGCCUAAACAAGACCACCUUGUCCGCCAGAAGAUUACGAGCGAAAGCUUAAAACUCAAAAGACUUGACGGUGUUCCAACCUACCUAGAGGAGCCUGUUCCAUAAUCGACAACCCACGAUAAACCUAACCCACCCUUGAAUGAACCAGCCUAUAUACCGCCGUCGCCAGCUUACCUUUCAAAAGAAUCAAAGUAAGCUUAAUAGCCCACACUAAAAAGUCAGGUCAAGGUGUAGCUAAUGGGUGGGAGGCAAUGGGCUACAUUCUCUACACUAGAUCAAACAAAUUAAUAUAUGAAAUAAAUAUAUGAAGGCGGAUUUAGAAGUAAGUUAAACAAGAAUAUUUAACUAAAUUAAGCUCUGGAACAUGUACACACCG
rnacentral:rRNA from 1 species